rnacentral:rRNA from 1 species
GACGAACGCUGGCGGCGUGCUUAACACAUGCAAGUCGAGCGGUAAGGCCCUUUCGGGGGUACGACGAGCGGCGAACGGGUGAGUAACACGUGGGUGACCUGCCCUCAGCUCUGGGAUAAGCCUGGGAAACCGGGUCUAAUACUGGAUAUGACUCCAUGACGCAUGUUGUGGGGUGGAAAGCCUUGUGCGGCUGAGGAUGGGCCCGCGGCCUAUCAGCUUGUUGGUGGGGUGANGGGCCUACCAAGGCGACGACGGGUAGCCGGCCUGAGAGGGCGACCGGCCACACUGGGACUGAGACACGGCCCAGACUCCUACGGGAGGCAGCAGUGGGGAAUCUUGCGCAAUGGGCGAAAGCCUGACGCAGCGACGCCGCGUGAGGGAUGACGGCCUGG